rnacentral:rRNA from 1 species
UAAGAAUAAAACUCAAAGUGAAACCUGCCCAGUGGUUUUUUUUAAAAUAUUAAAUUAAUUUUAAUAAAAUUAAACGGACGCAGUAUCUUGACUGUGAUAAUGUAGCAUAAUCAUUUGCCAUUUAAUUAAUGGAUAGUAUGAAAGGUUAAACGAAUAUUUCACUGUCUUAAGAAAAAAACUUAUGAAAUUGGAAUAAUAGUAAAGAUACUAUUUAAAAUUGUAAGACGAAAAGACCCUAUAGAGCUUAACUAAAAUCUUUUUCUUAUAAAUAAAAAUCUAUAAUUUUAUAAUAAUAAAGAUAGUUAGUUUAGUUGGGGCGACUACCUUUUAUUAUAAACAAAGGUAAACAAAAUUAUAAAAUAAUUUAUUGUAUAAUAAAUAAAUUUAACAAUUAUAAAAAUAGGUUAUACUGACCCGUUGUUAAUAAAUAAAAAUAACAACGAUUAAUAAAUAAAAGCUACCUUAG